CCACCAGAGCUCCAUGUGGCUGGGCACCGAGGACGGCGGCAUCCACGUGUACCAGUCCUCGGACAACAUCCGCAACAGGAAGAACAGCAUGAAGAUGCAGCACGCCGCCGCCGUCAUGUGCAUCCUGUACCUGGAUAACCAGGUGUUCGUGUCGCUGGCCAACGGGGAGCUCAUCGCCUACCAGCGGGAGGCAGGUGAGGCCGCGCGCGGCUG